UACGUAGGCAGCGAGCGUUGUUCGGAGUUACUGGGUGUAAAGCGUGCGCAGGCGGUUCGUCGUGUCCGAUGUGAAAGCCCCGGGCUCAACCUGGGAAUGGCAUUGGAAACUGGCGGACUCGAGUGUGGCAGAGGGGGGUGGAAUUCCGCGUGUAGCAGUGAAAUGCGUAGAGAUGCGGAGGAACACCGAUGGCGAAGGCAGCCCCCCUGGGCUAACACUGACGCUCAGGCACGAAAGCGUGGGGAGCAAACAGG
rnacentral:rRNA from 1 species